CACUCCUCUUGCUCUCAUUUUUCUUCUCUCCACUAACUCCUCCACCUUAUCUACUCCCUCACACUCUUCUCCUACUCUCCCCCACGAAAAUGCUGCUGCCCCUUGCUCCCAUGGCCGGCCAUGGCCAUGGAAGGCACUCCAAGAUGAAGUUCCCUCCUCCCUCAAGCUCCUCCUCACCAUGAGAGCCUCCCUCUCCUUCUUCUCCCCAACCCUAGAUGGUUUUCUCUCCUCUUCCUCUUCCUCCAUUGCUAAGAUUGGAUCUUGAUGCAGGUGCAUGUUGGUCCAAGCAUGGAGAAGCUUGAGCUAUCCUCAGAUCUGAAGUUCUUGAGCAAAAUCCAAAUCGAGUGAUUCAAAGUUCCGCAGAUAGAUACUGAAAAUAUCUACAACUUGGCGUUGGUCUCAUCCUCAAAUUCGUUACGGAUUGUCCGUGGUGAAAUCCCUCUUCAAUACCUUCAUUUUGGCGGUGGUUUCACUUCGAUUGACCUCCUGAAACUGAAAUGGUUCACAGGUCAAGAUCUGGUCAGAUCUGACUUUGUCGAAUUAAACCAGGAGCUUGGGAAUGAAUCUUUGAGUGAAACAAAUUGGGGGAUGUUUGGUUUAUACCAUGGUGAUAACCGAGAGAGGCAAUUGCUAAGUUGUGAUACUCUCAUACCUUUACUAGAUGCGAACAAUUCCGGAGAAGAAGAAGAAGUGGAAUUGGACAAGGAUUUUAUUUAUAUUGUUGGGAUUCUUAUAUUGAUAGAGUUGAAGAAGUACAGGGACAAAUAAGCCAAG